CCUACGGGAGGCAGCAGUGGGGAAUCUUGCGCAAUGCGCGAAAGCGUGACGCAGCAACGCCGCGUGGGGGAAGAAGGCUCUCGGGUCGUAAACCCCUUUCAGUUGGGACGAAGCUUCUCCGGUGAAUAGCCGGACGGAGUGACGGUACCUUCACAAGAAGCCCCGGCUAACUACGUGCCAGCAGCCGCGGUAAUACGUAGGGGGCAAGCGUUGUCCGGAAUCAUUGGGCGUAAAGCGCGUGUAGGCGGCUUGAUAAGUCUGUUGUGAAAGUCCAGGGCUCAACCCUGGAAUGCCGAUGGAUACUGUCAAGCUCGAGUCCGGAAGAGGCGAGUGGAAUUCCUGGUGUAGCGGUGAAAUGCGCAGAUAUCAGGAGGAACACCAAUGGCGAAGGCAGCUCGCUGGGACGGUACUGACGCUGAGACGCGAAAGCGUGGGGAGCAAACAGGAUUAGAUACCCUGGUAGUCCACGCCGUAAACGAUGGGCACUAGGUGUGGGAGGUAUUGACCCCUUCCGUGCCGAAGCUAACGCAUUAAGUGCCCCGCCUGGGGAGUACGGCCGCAAGGUUAAAACUCAAAGGAAUUGACGG
rnacentral:rRNA from 1 species